GCCCCGGUAUCCCAAUCGGCAGAGGAAAUGGUCUCAAACACCAUCAAGUGUGGGUUCGAGUCCCACCCGGGGCA
rnacentral:tRNA from 1 species